rnacentral:rRNA from 1 species
CACACCGCCCGUCACACCAUGGGAGUGGGUUUCACCAGAAGUAGCUAGCCUAACCGCAAGAAGGGCGACUACCACGGUGAGAUUCAUGACUGGGGUG